ACGGUUUUGGGUGAUUCAAAAGCCUAAAUCGCUUAGAAUCUCGCCCUCUUUCAUAAUCCAAGCUUUGUUUUGAGUGGGGAGCAUUGUGGAGAGGGAUAUUGCCUCUCAAAAAUUCGGCCCUUUGGAGAAAUUUGGGGUUUUGGGAAGUUCAACCUCCAUGGGAGCUUGAGGAACACUCCUUGCUUGGUUGUGUGACCAUUGGUGGAUUGAGACAUUUGGAUCAACCGUGAGUGAUCAACCAUUGGAGCAAGCUAUGGAGCUUGAAUAGCUCAUUGGAAUUGGUGUAUGUUUGUAAAAGUUGAUUGCUGAAACUGUUGGUGAAGAACAAAGGUCGACUGAAGCAUUGAGGUAAGCCUUCGGACCUUGGGUGUAAUUCCCUUGACUGUUCUACCAAGCCCUGA